GGAUUGUAGCUCAGUGGUAGAGUGCUUGCCUAGCACGUGUGAGGCAGUGGGUUCAAUACUCAGCACCA
rnacentral:tRNA from 1 species